rnacentral:rRNA from 1 species
UGCUUAUCUACUUGCCAAUUAGUGGGGGAUUAAAUACCGCAUACUCUGACUUCGGUCAGGAAAGGGUUCCGCAAGGGCCCGCUAAUUGAGAGGGAUAAGGCGUAUUAGCUAGUUGGUGGGGUAAUGGCCUACCAAGGUAAUGAUGCGUAGCCGGCCUAAGAGGGUGAACGGCCACAAGGGAACUGAGACACGGUCCCUACUCCUACGGGAGGCAGAAGGAGGAAACAUUUCGCAAUGGACGCAAGUCUAACGGAGUGAUACUACGUGAAGGACGAAGGUCUACGGAUUGUAAACUUCUUUACUAGUAGGUACUGCUUUCGGGCUUGCCUGCUAGCAAAAAGUCACGACUAACUAUGUGCCAGCAGUCGCGGUAAGACAUAGGUGGCAAACGUUAUCCGGAAUUACUGGGCGUAAAGGGUGCGUAGGUGGUUUAAUAAGUUACUGGUGGGAAAUCGGGGCCCAACCCCGUGGAAGUCAGUAAUACUAUUAAACUAGAGGGCCGGAGAGGUUAACGGAAUUCUAUGUGUAGCGGUAAAAUGCUCAAAUAUAUAGAGGAACACCAAUUGGCGAAGGCAGUUAACUAUUCGGCGCCUGACGUUGAGGCACGAAAGCGUGGGGAGCAAGACGGAUUAGAUACCCGAGUAGUCCACGCCCUAAACGAUGAGUACUAGAUAUUGGGAACUUGAUUUUCAGUGUCGCAAGAUAACUCGGUAAGUACUCCGCCUGGGUAGUACGGUCGCAAGGCUAAAACUCAAAGGAAUUGACGGGAACUCACACAAGCAGUGGAGCAUGUGGUUUAAUCCGAUAUGACGCGUAGAACCUUACCGGGGCUUGACAUGUUCGGCAAAACUAGGGAAACCUAGCGGAGGUUAUCCGGACACAGGUGUUGCAUGGCCAUCGUCAGUUCGUGUUGUGAGAUGUAUGGUUUAGUCCUAUUAACGAACGAAACCCUUGUGCUUAGUUGCUAACAGGUAAGGCUGAGGACUCUAAGCAGACUGCCAAGGCAACUUGGAGGAAGGCGAGGAUCACGUCUGAUCAUC